GCACAAGCGGUGGAGCAUGUGGUUUAAUUCGAUGCAACGCGCAGAACCUUACCUCGGCUUGACAUGCACGUGGUACUGACCCGAAAGGGAAGGGACCCGCGAGGGAGCGUGCACAGAUGCUGCAUGGCUGUCGUCAGCUCGUGCCGUGAGGUGUUGGGUUAAGUCCCGCAACGAGCGCAACCCUUGUCCUUAGUUGCUUUUUCUAAGGAGACCGCCGGUCUAAACCGGAGGAAGGUGGGGAUGACGUCAAGUCAGCACGACUCUUACGUCGAGGGCUACACACACGCUACAAUGGCCGGUACAACGGGCUGCUAAGGGGCGACCUGGAGCUAAUCCCACCAAAGCCGGUCUCAGUUCGGAUUGCAGGCUGCAACUCGCCUGCAUGAAGUCGGAGUUGCUAGUAACCGCGAAUCAGCAUGCCGCGGUGAAUACGUUCCCGGGC
rnacentral:rRNA from 1 species